GAGAGAUUCUAAAACAUCUGCACGAUCU
rnacentral:sRNA from 1 species